UCCCCUUCGGGGGUGACGCUUGUGGAAUGAGCGGCGGACGGGUGAGUAACACGUGGGCAACCUGCCUGUAAGACUGGGAUAACCCCGGGAAACCGGGGCUAAUACCGGAUAAUACUUUCUUUUGCAUAAAGGRAAGUUGAAAGGCGGCUUCGGCUGUCACUUACAGAUGGGCCCGCGGCGCAUUAGCUAGUUGGUGAGGUAACGGCUCACCAAGGCGACGAUGCGUAGCCGACCUGAGAGGGUGAUCGGCCACACUGGGACUGAGACACGGCCCAGACUCCUACGGGAGGCAGCAGUAGGGAAUCUUCCGCAAUGGACGAAAGUCUGACGGAGCAACGCCGCGUGAGUGAUGAAGGUUUUCGGAUCGUAAAACUCUGUUGUUAGGGAAGAACAAGUUGGGUAGUAACUGACCCWACCUUGACGGUACCUAACCAGAAAGCCACGGCUAACUACGUGCCAGCAGCCGCGGUAAUACGUAGGUGGCAAGCGUUGUCCGGAAUUAUUGGGCGUAAAGCGCUCGCAGGCGGUCCUUUAAGUCUGAUGUGAAAUCUCGCGGCUCAACCGCGAACGGUCAUUGGAAACUGGAGGACUUGAGUACAGAAGAGGAGAGUGGAAUUCCACGUGUAGCGGUGAAAUGCGUAGAGAUGUGGAGGAACACCAGUGGCGAAGGCGACUCUCUGGUCUGUAACUGACGCUGAGGAGCGAAAGCGUGGGGAGCGAACAGGAUUAGAUACCCUGGUAGUCCACGCCGUAAACGAUGAGUGCUAGGUGUUAGGGGGUUUCCGCCCCUUAGUGCUGAAGUUAACGCAUUAA
rnacentral:rRNA from 1 species